CCGCUGCGUGAGAGAGUGAGGGUGAGAGGUUGAGGGUGUGAGCAAGAGAUUCUUUGGUCUCCUCUAAAUUAUUUAGAGUGAGCUUGGUUUGGGCUCUUGGGUCUUGAAUCCUCCUACUCUUAGUUAUUGUGUUAAGAACUUGAGACGAGGGUUCAGGUGUUGGUCCCAAGGGGAAGGUGUUCGAGA